UUCGAGGUGGAAGCAUGGUGACAUGUGGAGCUGACGAAUACUAAUAGAUCGAGGACUUAACCAUAUA
rnacentral:rRNA from 1 species